rnacentral:rRNA from 1 species
GACGAACGCUGGCGGCGUGCUUAACACAUGCAAGUCGAACGGAAAGGCCCUGCUUUUGUGGGGUGCUCGAGUGGCGAACGGGUGAGUAACACGUGAGUAACCUGCCCUUGACUUUGGGAUAACUUCAGGAAACUGGGGCUAAUACCGGAUAGGAGCUCCUGCUGCAUGGUGGGGGUUGGAAAGUUUCGGCGGUUGGGGAUGGACUCGCGGCUUAUCAGCUUGUUGGUGGGGUAGUGGCUUACCAAGGCUUUGACGGGUAGCCGGCCUGAGAGGGUGACCGGCCACAUUGGGACUGAGAUACGGCCCAGACUCCUUCGGGAGGCAGGAGUGGGGAAUAUUGCACAAUGGGCGGAAGCCUGAUGCAGCAACGCCGCGUGCGGGAUGACGGCCUUCGGGUUGUAAACCGCUUUCGCCUGUGACGAAGCGUGAGUGACGGUAAUGGGUAAAGAAGCACCGGCUAACUACGU